CAUGUCUAAGUAUAAAUGCUUCUAUACUGUGAAACUGCGAAUGGCUCAUUAAAUCAGUUAUAGUUUAUUUGAUGGUUCCUUACUACUUGGAUAACCGUAGUAAUUCUAGAGCUAAUACAUGCAGAAAGUCCCGACUUCUUGGAAGGGAUGUAUUUAUUAGAUCCAAAACCAGCGCGAGUUUCCUUCGGGGGCUCGGUUGCAUGGUGAUUCAUGAUAACUGCUCGAAUCGCAUGGCCUCGCGCCGGCGAUGAUCCAUUCAAAUUUCUGCCCUAUCAACUUUCGAUGGCAAGGUAGUGGCUUGCCAUGGUGACAACGGGUGACGGAGAAUUAGGGUUCGAUUCCGGAGAGGGAGCCUGAGAAACGGCUACCACAUCCAAGGAAGGCAGCAGGCGCGCAAAUUACCCAAUCCCGACUCGGGGAGGUAGUGACAAUAAAUAACAAUGCUGGGCUAUCGUAGUCUGGCAAUUGGAAUGAGUACAAUCUAAACCCCUUAACGAGGAACAAUUGGAGGGCAAGUCUGGUGCCAGCAGCCGCGGUAAUUCCAGCUCCAAUAGCGUAUAUUAAAGUUGUUGCAGUUAAAAAGCUCGUAGUUGGAUUUCGGGGCAGCCCGGCUGGUCCGUCGCAAGGCGAGUACUGGUCGGCCGCCCUUCCUCUCGAAAGCCCCGACUGCUCUUCACUGUAGUGGUCGGGGAGUUCGGGACGUUUACUUUGAAAAAAUUAGAGUGUUCAAGGCAGGCCAUCGCCUGAAUACAUUAGCAUGGAAUAAUGGAAGAGGACCUCGGUCCUAUUUUGUUGGUUUCUAGGGCCGAAGUAAUGAUUAAGAGGGACAGUUGGGGGCAUUCGUAUUUAAUUGUCAGAGGUGAAAUUCUCGGAUUUAUGAAAGACGAACAACUGCGAAAGCAUUUGCCAAGGAUGUUUUCAUUAAUCAAGAACGAAAGUUAGGGGUUCGAAGACGAUCAGAUACCGUCGUAGUCCUAACCAUAAACUAUGCCGACUAGGGAUCG
rnacentral:rRNA from 1 species